CUUUAAGCUUGAGACGAGCGCACUACGAGUCGGUGCUUCUCUUUUCUUUAACUUGUCCUCUCGUCCACCACCAAAGCCAAUGGCUUCUCUGUUCAAAGAAAUUCCUUCCAUGUCAACUCUGCUCUCUGCCUACGCCUCAAUCUCUACCUUGUCCAUGCUCAUCCGUACAAUCGUUAACGAAAUGAUCCCGAAGCGUAUGCGGGAUUUCAUCACCACCAAAUUCUCUGAUUUCUUUUCUUCCUAUUUCUCUUCGGAUUUCACCUUCAUCAUUGAAGAUCGCUGGCAAGCUGUUAACAGCGAAACUUUCCGUGCU
rnacentral:misc_RNA from 1 species